UCCCAGUUCGGAUUGUAGUCUGCAACCCGACUACAUGAAGCUGGAAUCGCUAGUAAUCGCGGAUCAGAAUGCCGCGGUGAAUACGUUCCCGGGUCUUGUACACACCGCCCGUCACACCAUGGGGAGUCGGAAAUGCCCGAAGUCUGUGACCCAACCUUAGGGAGGGAGCAGCCGAAGGCAGGUCGGAUGACUGGGGUGAAGUCGUAACAAGGUAUC
rnacentral:rRNA from 1 species